rnacentral:rRNA from 1 species
AGCUUCGGCUAUCUAGUUGCGAACGGCUGAGUAACACGUAGGAAUCUACCUUUCGGUGGGGAAUACCCAUGGGAAACCAUGGCUAAUACCGCAUAAGAUCUCCGGAUGAAAGGGCUUAACUGCCCGCCGAAAGAGGAGCCUGCGUACCAUCAGUUUGUUGGUAGGGUAACGGCCUACCAAGACUACGACGGUUAGGGGGUGUGAGAGCAUGACCCCCCAGAGAGGCACUGAGACACGGGCCUCACAUCUACGGAUGGCAGCAACCGGGAAUCGUGCGCAAUGGACGAAAGUCUGACGCCGCGACGCCGCGUGUGGGAUGAAGGUCUUCGGAUUGUAAACCACUUUUGGUUGAGUCGAGAGACUCUUAAGAAUAAGCGCCCGCUAACUACGUGCCAGCAGCUGCGGUAAUACGUAGGGCGCAAGCGUUGCCCGGAUUUAUUGGGCGUAAAGGGUUCCGUAGGCGUCUUGGCAAGGUAUUCUUCAAAUACUGGGGCUUAACCUCAGGCAGGGGAGUAAUACUGCCAGGAUUGAAAUAUUUCGGGGCUACUAGAACUAUCGGUGUAGGGGUGAAAUCCGUUGAUAUCGAUAGGAAUUCCAAGGGCGAAGGCGGGUAGCUAGGAAUAAUUUGACGCUGAUGGACGAAAGCUAGGGUAGCGAA